rnacentral:rRNA from 1 species
GUGGGGAAUAUUGCGCAAUGGGGGAAACCCUGACGCAGCGACGCCGCGUGUGGGAUGACGGCCUUCGGGUUGUAAACCACUGUCGGGAGGGACGAAGAUCUGACGGUACCUCCAAAGGAAGCACCGGCUAACUCUGUGCCAGCAGCCGCGGUAAUACAGAGGGUGCGAGCGUUGUCCGGAAUUACUGGGCGUAAAGGGCGCGUAGGCGGCCUGAUAAGUAGGGGGUGAAAUUCCGUGGCUCAACCACGGAACUGCCUUCUAAACUGCCAGGCUUGAGCACGGUAGAGGCAGAUGGAAUUCCCGGUGUAGCGGUGGAAUGCGUAGAGAUCGGGAAGAACACCAGUGGCGAAGGCGGUCUGCUGGGCCGUUGCUGACGCUGAUGCGCGACAGCGUGGGGAGCAAACAGGAUUAGAUACCCGUGUAGUCC